GUAGGUGGCAAGCGUUGUCCGGGAAUUAUUGGGGCGUAAAGCGCGCGUAGGCGGUUCUUUAAGUCUGAUGUGAAAGCCCACGGGCUCAACCGUGGAGGGUCAUUGGAAACUGGAGAACUUGAGUACAGAAGAGGAAAGCGGAAUUCCACGUGUAGCGGUGAAAUGCGUAGAGAUGUGGAGGAACACCAGUGGCGAAGGCGGCUUUCUGGUCUGUAACUGACGCUGAGGCGCGAAAGCGUGGGGAGCAAACAGGAUUAGAUACCCUGGUAGUCCACGCCGUAAACGAUGAGUGCUGAGUGUUAGGGGGUUUCCGCCCCUUAGUGCUGCAGCUAACGCAUUAAGCACUCCGCCUGGGGAGUACGGCCGCAAAGGCUGA
rnacentral:rRNA from 1 species